rnacentral:rRNA from 1 species
ACUCAAAUGAAUUGACGGGGGCCCGCACAAGCGGUGGAGCAUGUGGUUUAAUUCGAUGCAACGCGAAGAACCUUACCAGGUCUUGACAUCCAUGGGAGCCCUACGAAAGUAGGGCGUGCCUUCGGGAGCCAUGAGACAGGUGGUGCAUGGUUGUCGUCAGCUCGUGUCGUGAGAUGUUGGGUUAAGUCCCGCAACGAGCGCAACCCUUGCUAUUAGUUGCUAACAGGCAAGCUGAGCACUCUAAUGGAACUGCCCGUGACAAGCGGGAGGAAGGUGGGGACGACGUCAAAUCAUCAUGCCCUUUAUGAUCUGGGCUACACACGUGCUACAAUGGAUGGUACAGAGAGCGGCAAGGCCGUGAGGCGGAGCGAAUCUCAAAAAGCCAUUCUCAGUUCGGAUUGCAGUCUGCAACUCGACUGCAUGAAGUCGGAAUCGCUAGUAAUCGCGAAUCAGCACGUCGCGGUGAAUGCGUUCCCGGGCCUUGUACACACCGCCCGU